CUUUACAGGUGAAGCAGGGAUCCAUGAAGAAGCUCUUAGGACAGCUGCUAGCCUUGGGAGGAAAAGAACAGACUUAUGUAAUCCUGUCACACACACACACAGUAACCAAAAAGGCAAGUGCAAACUGAGAAGCUUCGCUGAAGAAUACGGACUGCAAGUAUCCAUGUUGACAAUGGAAAGGAGCUACAACCAUGAAUAACUAUGACAAACAACCUUUUGUCAAGGAAGGCUUUAGAGGGACCAGACCUGACUGCUACAGCAGAGUAACUUAGAUUCAGAGACGGUCUUUUGGUAUGAACACCUUUAGCUGUUAGUACUCCCAGCUGACUUCAGUUUCAAGACUGCCAUACUCAGAGAAGAUGAAGCACUCUUACCAAAUCCUUAUUUUAAGACAGCAUUUUUGGGAGAGAAAAGUGGAAUAUUCCCAAAACACAUUAUUUGUUAUCAAAUCCCAACCCAUAUGUAUAAAUCCACCACAAUUUGAUCUCAGUGCAGGCUAUUUAUUUUCUUUCUACUAUUAGCAAAGCCAAAUGAAAACCAAUUUUUGCCUUGCAGCAAUAGAUAUCAUCCACUUCUAUGUCUUAAUCCUAUGUGAGGCCACACAGCUACUCAGAACAGGACCCUCAGUCCCUCAGUGAGUCUUACAAAUCAUUAGUGCUGACCUCUGAUCAUUGAAUUUUUACAGUUGGAAAAGAUCUCUAAGACCAUCUAGUCCAACCAUCAAUCUAUCUCCACCACGUCCAGUCAGGGCUUCGUCUCUCCUUCACUUUGCACAGCUCAGAAUCUGGCAGAUGAUGCCCUGAGCCAGGUCUGCACAGAGCACAUUAAGUGCACCAGCUCUCAUCUGCUAGUGAUGUGGUCUUGUCUUUGCUCUUUCCUUUCAAGUUGUUGUGUUCUUGGCACAAAUUCGCUGUUUUCUGGAGGAAAUAGAUGGUGCUAAAUUGCAGAAUCAUAAGGGUUAGAAGGGACCU
rnacentral:lncRNA from 7 species